rnacentral:rRNA from 1 species
CCUACGGGUGGCAGCAGUGAGGAAUAUUGGUCAAUGGACGAGAGUCUGAACCAGCCAAGUAGCGUGAAGGAUGACUGCCCUAUGGGUUGUAAACUUCUUUUAUCUGGGAAUAAAACAGGGUAUGCAUACCCUCUUGUAUGUACCAUAUGAAUAAGGAUCGGCUAACUCCGUGCCAGCAGCCGCGGUAAUACGGAGGAUCCGAGCGUUAUCCGGAUUUAUUGGGUUUAAAGGGAGCGUAGGUGGAUUGUUAAGUCAGUUGUGAAAGUUUGCGGCUCAACCGUAAAAUUGCAGUUGAAACUGGCAGUCUUGAGUACAGUAGAGGUGGGCGGAAUGCGUGGUGUAGCGGUGAAAUGCAUAGAUAUCACGCAGAACUCCGAUUGCGAAGGCAGCUUACUAAGCCAUAACUGACACUGAAGCACGAAAGCGUGGGGAUCAAACAGGAUUAGAUACCCGGGUAGUC